CGCCAAAGCUGCAGGAGUGGGAUUUUUUAAAGUGUCCGGUUUUGAUUUGGAGGAUAUGGUAGUGGACAUCGGUUACUGGUUCAAGGGUAGCACAAAUCGGAAAGGAUACCUGACAGAUGAAAAUCAGGCCAGGUUCAAGAGACUUGUGCAGACAUUCACUGACCCCAUGACAGAAGUGUACCUGCUGUUCUUCCAAGCCACCGUACCAACUUUCACUUCUUUCAACUUGCUGCUUCAGAGAGAGCAGUCAUCAAUAUUUUUGUUACAUGAUGAGAUGGUGAAAUUCGUACGCAAGCUAUGUUCCAAGUUUAUGGUUCCAGCAGCUCUGCAGUGCCAUGAGGAGCCUUGUGAA